rnacentral:RNase_P_RNA from 1 species
AAGAGUUGGUGCUGCGGUUGCGGGCUAAGGACUUAGCAAAGCCCUUAGCUUGAGGAAAGUCCGGGCUCCUGAAAGGUCAGGCUUGCUGGGUAAUUCCCAGUGCGGGUGACCGUGAGGAUAGUGCCACAGAAACAUACCGCCAAUGGAAAGGCGGAAGGCGGAAGGCAGAAGGCGGAAUUUAAAUUCAUCCUUCAUUCUUCAUCCUUCAUCCUUUUACAGGUAAGGGUGCAAAGGUGCGGUAAGAGCGCACCAGCAGCAUCGAGAGGUGCUGGCUCGGUAAACCCCGGCUAGGAGCAAGGUCGCAGGGGUCAUGGUUGACCUUUUUCCAGCCCCGCUUUUGGUGUACCGCUAGAGGCAACUGGUAACAGUCGUCCCAGAUAGAUAACCGCCCGUUGAUGUUCGCAUCAGCGAGAACAGAACCCGGCUUACGGCUGACUCUUUCCA